AGCAAGUUUUGGGCAGAUUUGCACAGU
rnacentral:piRNA from 1 species